rfam:Triticum urartu cultivar G1812 contig814328, whole genome shotgun sequence.
CAUAUACUCCCUCCGUCCCGAAAUACUUGUCGGAAAAAUGGAUAAAAAUGGAUGUAUCUAAAACUAAAAUACAUUUAGAUACAUCCAUUUCUCUGACAAGUAUUUCUGGACGGAGGGAGUACAAU